UUGUACACCUAUAGAAGAUUUUUUUUUUCUCACCCGAUGGCUGGAAAUUUUUUUAAGUGAAAUUUAAUAAAUAGGCCUAUCCAAGCUAGGAAUGUUUUUUGCACUAUGCCUGGGAAGAUUUUUUCUCCUAAUUUUUUUCUGGGAAUAUUUUUUUUUGGUUUCCCUCCCCCCUCAUCACUUUUCUAAUGGUCCGUCCCUUACAAGGAAAUGAGAACAUGACUUCAUUCUACCAUCAAUUAGAACGGAAAGUUAAUAAUAAUCUGAUCAAUGGUCCUUAUUGCUUUUUAAAGAAUCGCUUGCCAUUCGAUGUUUUAAACCUGAUCUUAAUCACGGAAUUAUAAAAGGCGUCAAAAGACCUCAUAAUAAUUAACUAAAUUAACUAAUUAACUAACUAUAUGUUUGUAUAACAAAUUACUUUUACUCUUCACCUGUUCUCGUAACUAGAACCGUCAUGAUUAAUCAUCGAAUAAAACAAAUGAAUUUUUAGGCUUUAAUAUAUAAAGAAAACUAUAAAUGUUUUAUGUAUUUUCUACAUGUUUUUCUUGUCGCCAUGACAACCGUCCUCUCUCGCCAGUCUUUUUGCUCGGUCAAAUUUAUAUUACGUAAUAACUUUAAUAUAUUCAGAAACAUCACCUAGGAUCAUUCCUGAUGAUGACUAAAACAUAGUCGAAAGCUAGAAUUAUACUAAAAUGUUCCUUUUCUUUUGUAUUUUUCAGAAAACGUACCCCAAGCAUUCAGAACAUGCAACAAAACAGUUUUUGGUGAGCUAUGAAUUAAGGACAUUAUACUAUUUUUUGCAGAAUCAAAGGAAUUCAUAGAAAGUAGACGUUUAAAGCCUAAAAUUCAGCCGCUCUGUUCACUCUUAGUCCUGCUCACUCAAAUAAAAUUGUACUUUUGGCAACGUUCAUUUCGUUUCAUUUUUGUCGAAAUAUUGUAUAUAUAGUAGUUCUACAAACGAUUGUUUUUCUUACGGAUGAUUGCUGUGUUAUGCAUAUACAAUUUGGAGGUAAAA